UUUUUCCCCGGAGAACCCAAACCACAACUUUUUCGCAUUUUCCCGCUUUCCCGCUCCUCUGCCGUUCUUCUUGCCUUGGUUUUUUCCGGGGCGUCCGCGGCGGCGCAGGGUAGCGAUGUGGUGUAGCAUCCAUGGCUGGAGCAAAAGCCUCGCCGGAGAUGGAUACGCCCGAUAAGAACCGCAUCGCCGGCGUUUCUCUCUUCACCUUCGAGCGCAGGAUUCUCCGGUAUUUAUAGAACCUGUUAGAGUCAGCUCUUGCUGAUAACAACAUAUCGAAUUCAUUUGCUUUUGCGUCACCUUCAGCUUUAGUCACUUCACCUCAGACAACAUCCAGAUUUUCAUUCAAAAGGCACCAAUCCCCUUCGGAGUCGGACACACCGAAUCCAGUGUUUCUCCUUGAUGGAGCUGUAAUUAACUCGAGAGAUGUUCUGCAAUCUGUUAAGGCAUCUGACCUUUGUGGUGAGCAGCUCAAAUGUGAUAGCCCUCGUGCCCUUUCUAAACUAUCGGAUGUAAAUGUAAUCGUGUCCAUGUUAUACAAAGAUGGGCGUCGGAUGCUCCCCGAGCUGCAGAUGCAUAGCCUAGCAAUGCCCUUUUCCCGGUGCUUUUCCCGGUGCUUUUCCCGGUGCUCUAGAACAUGAUGCGGUUAUGAUUGGCGAGGAAGACGGAGAUCGAGACGUGAAACGUCGUCAUGUGGGUGAUGAAGGUGUCAGCGAUGCUCCUAGGAAGGAAGGUCAGGGCAUUGUAAGCAGUGGAAACCGAAUGAUACUACUGAGUUGUGUACCAUGAGAGACUUGCAACAAUUCAAUCUCCAGUACUUUUCAGAUUCAUCUUGUAGCUCUCUCUGGUCAGGUUCUUUCCACCUCUGUUUGUUUGUAGUGUAUGAUGCGAUUCUUCA